CUACGGGAGGCAGCAGUGGGGAAUAUUGCGCAAUGGGCGAAAGCCUGACGCAGCCAUGCCGCGUGUGUGAAGAAGGCCUUAGGGUUGUAAAGCACUUUCAAUAGAGAGGAAAAGCUGCAGGUUAAUACCCUGCAGCCGUGACGUUACCUAUAGAAGAAGCACCGGCUAACUCUGUGCCAGCAGCCGCGGUAAUACGGAGGGUGCGAGCGUUAAUCGGAAUUACUGGGCGUAAAGCGCGCGUAGGCGGUCUGGUCAGUUGGGUGUGAAAGCCCCGGGCUUAACCUGGGAACUGCAUCCAAUACUGCCAGACUAGAGUACGAGAGAGGGGGGUAGAAUUCCACGUGUAGCGGUGAAAUGCGUAGAUAUGUGGAGGAAUACCAGUGGCGAAGGCGGCCCCCUGGCUCGAUACUGACGCUCAGGUGCGAAAGCGUGGGGAGCAAACAGGAUUAGAUACCCUGGUAGUCCACGCCGUAAACGAUGUCAACUAGCCGUUGGGAGACUUGAUUUCCUAGUGGCGCAGCUAACGCACUAAGUUGACCGCCUGGGGAGUACGGCCGCAAGGUUAAAACUCAAAUGAAUUGACGGA
rnacentral:rRNA from 1 species